CCUACGGGAGGCAGCAGUGGGGAAUAUUGCGCAAUGGGCGAAAGCCUGACGCAGCGACGCCGCGUGAGUGAUGAAGGUCUUCGGAUCGUAAACCUCUGUCAGCAGGGAAGAACGGUCACUGUGCUAAUCAGCAGUGAAUUGACGGUACCUGCAAAGGAAGCACCGGCUAACUCCGUGCCAGCAGCCGCGGUAAUACGGAGGGUGCGAGCGUUAAUCGGAAUUACUGGGCGUAAAGCGCUCGUAGGCGGGAUGUUAAGUCAAGGGGGAAAUCCCCGCGCUCAACGUGGGAACUGCCUUUGAAACUGGCAAACUGGAGUGUGUGAGAGGAUAGUGGAAGUCCAGGGGUAGGAGUGAAAUGCGUAGAUAUCUGGAGGAACAUCAGUGGCGAAGGCGACUAUCUGGCACAUAACUGACGCUGAGGAGCGAAAGCGUGGGUAGCAAACAGGAUUAGAUACCCCAGUAGUC
rnacentral:rRNA from 1 species